GGGCACAUUCAUACACUCCCUAAUAAAGAGUGUGGUGGGUGUGAGGUUUGAGAGUUCCUUUUCCUUGUAUGGAAGAGAAGGGUGAGAGAGUUGAAACCAAAAAAAAAAAAAUAAUAACAGUGAUACCUUAGGUUUGGUUAGAAUAAAAAGAGAGAGUUGGGUUUUUGGGUCUCACGUAAGAUGGGCACUGGUGCAUGGGGUUGCAUGAGAAAAAUGGGAUUUGGGUUGUUGUAGUGAAAAGAGAUUAGAAGAAAGUAGGGGUAGAAGAUUGACGUAAGUGAGGGUGAGAAAAGUGAGAGUUAAAGUGGGCAUUGAAAAGUCAAAGGGAAGUAAGGAGUGAAUUUAGAAGUGUGUAUGAGGAAGGUGCAUGCAUGGGAAUAUAUGUAAAUUGUAGUGAGUGAAGAGUAUAGGUGUGAAUUGUGUCUUAGUUAGAGUGAAGUGAGAAAAUCAAAAUGAAAGAAGGUGCAGGGGAAGUGUGGGGGCCGUGAGCAUUGAUUGUAAGAAAGAAAAGUGUGAAUGAAUAAUGUAGUGUGUGAAGGGUGAGGAGAGUCCUACGUAAAUGAUAUGUGGAGGGGAGAGAAGUUGCAACUUUUAGCUUAGUAAAAGAGAGUAAAAAGUGGUGAAUUUAAAGUGGGAUCCACGGUUUUGGGUGAGAGAAAUGAAAGGAGAGUGGUUAUCUCAUAAAGUUAACCUUUUUAUUUGACUUUUACGUAAGUAAAGGAAGAAAGAGUGUUUUAGNUGAGAAAUGAGUAACUUAAAGUGGGACCUACCUUGGAAGUAAGAGAAAAUGUAAUUUAAUGAUUUUGGGGCCCACUUGAAAAAGGUAGGUGUUGAAGGGAGUGUGUUUAGAGUAAAAAGGGGUGUAUAGGAAUUUAUGCAUUUUCUUUAGUGUUGGAAAUUUAGNAAAAAAUGAGGGUGUACUAGAAAUGUUGUUCUAGUUAAUGGAAGUGUGAAAUUAGUAAUCUCAGGGGGUGCAUCAGUAGAAAAAAAAUAAUAAUAAUUAAAUUAUGUUAUUUAAUUAUUUGUGUUUUUUUUUAUUAAUCGUUGGUCAAUCAUUUUGGUUGGCUUUCUAUAUGAUGGUGAUUUGUGUAUGGUUGUGAUGGUGAAGUUGUGAGAGCAAGUGUCCUGUCAUUUUCUUAGAAUAUUUGUCGAACCGAUGAUGGUGUUCGUAUUGCGAUACGAUAAUGUGUCCAGUUCUCUGAGGCUGAGAUUCGAGUGUCACCCUAUCCUC
rnacentral:lncRNA from 1 species